rnacentral:rRNA from 1 species
UUGCUUGACGUUGGGAGUUUACGGAGACGUAAUUCCUCAAAUAUAGUGGCGGAGCUAGGUCGUGCUCUAAGCGUARUAACCACAAUUCUCGCUUCUGCAGCCGGCUUAGGUCCUGCCGUAAAACCCCUAUAUUUUUUUAUUGGUUGACCUCGGAUCAGGUAGGAAUACCCGCUGAACUUAAGCAUAUCAAUAAGCGGAGGAAAAGAAACCAACAGGGAUUGCCCUAGUAACGGCGAGUGAAGCGGCAACAGCUCAAAUUUGAAAUCUGGCCCUCGGGUCCGAGUUGUAAUUUGCAGAGGAUGCUUUUGGCGCGGUGCCUUCCGAGUUCCCUGGAACGGGACGCCUUAGAGGGUGAGAGCCCCGUACGGUUGGACACCAAGCCUCUGUAAAGCUCCUUCGACGAGUCGAGUAGUUUGGGAAUGCUGCUCUAAAUGGGAGGUAAAUUUCUUCUAAAGCUAAAUACCGGCCAGAGACCGAUAGCGCACAAGUAGAGUGAUCGAAAGAUGAAAAGCACUUUGAAAAGAGGGUUAAAUAGCACGUGAAAUUGUUGAAAGGGAAGCGUUUACGGCCAGACCUUUUCCUGGCGGAUCAUCUGGUGUUCUCACCAGUGCACUCCGCCAGGUUUAGGCCAGCAUCG